rnacentral:rRNA from 1 species
UCCUUCUGUUAACCUUUGGGAGCUUCACCGCUCCCUUUGGGGCUCAGAUAUUUUACCUUGAGAAAAUUAGAGUGUUUCAGGCAGGCUAGCGCCGGAAUACAUUAGCAUGGAAUAAUGGAAUAGGACUUUUGCCUCUUCUGUUGGUCAUGGGGUUCGAGUAAUGAUUAAUAGGGAUAGUUGGGGGCAUUAGUACUUCACUGUCAGAGGUGAAAUUCUCGGAUUUGUGAAAGACUAACUUAUGCGAAAGCAUUUGCCAAGGAUGUUUUCAUUAAUCAAGAACGAAAGUUAGGGGAUCAAAGACGAUCAGAUACCGUCCUAGUCUUAACCAUAAACUAUGCCGACUCGGGAUCGGGGGCGAGAACUAUCCGCCUUCGGCACCGUAUGAGAAAUCAAAGUCUUUUGGGUUCUGGGGGGAGUAUGGUCGCAAGGCUGAAACUUAAAGGAAUUGACGGUAAGGCA